UACUACUUUCCUCCACUCCAACGCUCCCAUUCUCUCCAAUCUGAAACAAGAAUCCGUAGUAAAACCGAAUCAUUCACACAGGAGGUAAAACUUACGUAGAGGAAGAAGGGCCAAAGAGGGGAUUCUCUCUAAGGGGCUGAAAAGAGAAUCUUCCGAGGAAUCUAGCGACACAAGCUUUGUUUGGUCCGAUGAUCUUCUUGGGACAGUCGUUGACGAACAUAACGGCGAUAAA